rnacentral:lncRNA from 10 species
CGAGACUUUUAAGUCGAGUGUUCCUGUGGGGCCAAAAGGAUGGUUUCAGAGAAAUCCCAGGAAGUGAGAGUGCUGGGAUAUGCGAGGGGCCCACGGAGCCCUCCCCUGCGUGUCUGAGAUCACACCCUGCGGGUACCCUGCCGUCGUGUGCUGAAGGAGGUGACUGGAUCUCGACUCCAGAGUUUGCUCCUGAGAUCGAAAAACAAAACAACCCAAUAAUAGUCUUGAUUUAAGUUCCUGAACUCUGCCCACCACCACCAGCAGCCAUGACUUCUUGGCAAGACUCCAAACCCCUCCCUACCUUCACUCUUUAGGGUGACCAAAACAAAACCCCUGGCCUUCAUAUAUCCUAAUGCAGGGAGAGGACAGAAAAUGUGGAAUAAGGAGAAAGGCUAGACUUACAGGGUGACCAAUAAUGCUGGUUUAUCCAAGAAGGGGAUUCCCAAGACACAGGGCUGUCAGUGCUAAACCAGGGUGUUCCUGUCCAACUUGGCUUCCAUAAGAACUUCAAUCAAAUUCACAGACCACAUUCAAAUUUGUCAAUUGUCCUAAUAAUAGCUA